CCUACGGAGUGCAGCAGUGGGGAAUAUUGCACAAUGGGGGAAACCCUGAUGCAGCGACGCCGCGUGGGUGACGAAGUAUUUCGGUAUGUAAAGCCCUAUCAGCAGGGAAGAAGAUGACAGUACCUGACCAAGCAGCCCCGGCUAACUACGUGCCAGCAGCCGCGGUAAUACGUAGGGGGCAAGCGUUAUCCGGAUUUACUGGGUGUAAAGGGAGCGUAGGUGGCAUGGCAAGCCAGAAGUGAAAACCCGGGGCUUAACCCCGCGGAUUGCUUUUGGAACUGUCAGGCUGGAGUGCAGGAGGGGCAGGCGGAAUUCCUGGUGUAGCGGUGAAAUGCGUAGAUAUCAGGAGGAACACCGGUGGCGAAGGCGGCCUGCUGGACUGUAACUGACACUGAGGCUCGAAAGCGUGGGGAGCAAACAGGAUUAGAUACCCUGUAGUC
rnacentral:rRNA from 1 species